UGUGUGUGUGUGUGUGUGUGUGUUUGUGUGUGUGUGUGUGUGUGCAUGUAAUUUACAGGGAUGUUCCUCUCCAUUACGCUCUAAAUAAACAUGUAGGCCUGUUCAAUCCCCUAGGCUAGGUUAUAGUGUGAUCCCUGGUGUCAUAGUGUGUGUGUGUGUGUGUGUGUGUGUGUGUGUGUGUGUGUGUGUGUGUGUGUGUGUGUGUGUGUGUGUGUGUGUGUGUGUGUGUGAUGUACUGUGUGUGUGUGUGUGUGUGUGUGUGUGUGUGUGUGUGUGUGUGUGUGUGUGUGUGUGUGAUGUACUGUGACGGUGGGUAAUAAAUUACAUGUGGCGUUCCACAUUUUCAUUUGACAGAGUCAACAUGCACCCACAUCCUAUGAGGAUGCUCAUCUCAAGGCAAAUGACAGAAUGUGGUUAGUGACAAUCCGCUGUGGCUAUGUAAGACUCAAAAGGAAAUCUGUGCCGUCACGUCUUCCCAGAACAUGGUUUUGUUUUAUUCAAGUAUUUAUUUAUUUAUGUCGUCUGCUUAUGUUAGUCUAGACGACCAAAAAAAAAAAUAAGCAAUACUUUUGAUCGGGACUCCAUGCGACAGGCUAAACAACAUGUUAGUAAUGUUUGUGACUAUUUCAUCAUCUGAGUGGUCUUUUGGCUUCACUUGACUUGAAACGUGUCUCCCUCCUGCAGAAAGAAGGCGAUCAGAAGAUCACAUCAUCAGUGGGCGGGCGUCUCACCACCUACACUCAGACAGGAUUGGCUGCUGGCCAGGAGUACCAUGUGUCAAUCACAGGAGAGAAGGAUGGGCAGCCUGGUGCAGAGAGUUCUACAGAGUUCAUUACAAUUAUCUCAGGUCCCACCAAUCUGAAAUUGGUGAAGACAUCCACCACGUACGCAAUCAUCCAAUGGGAUCCGCCCCAGAUGGAGAUAGACAGGUAUCACUUGAGAGUCUCACCCAGCGCGGGAGGAGACCAGGGCAGUCAGGAGAUCGUCGUGCCCCCCUCCAGGGUGUCCGCCCAGAUAGAUCGUCUGAAGGCGGGAGUGCUCUAUGACAUCACUCUGGUGGCAGAGAAGGAUGGAGCCGGAGUUCGCCAGAGACGAUACAGGUCGUGCCCGGUGAGUCCAGAACUCUCCAGAAUCAUCCUUAAGGCAUCCACAUGCAUCCAUUCACAUCCAGAGCCAUGGACUGUUCAUGUGUUCUGUGACUGAUUUUUGUAAGAUGUUGUGGAGACUUUAACUCCUUGGUUUUAGGAUUGGUUUUAGUAUAGAUGUUUUUGUGUUCUAUGGUGUUACAGAACAGCAUUUACUUAGAGUUUGUCCUACCAAGGCACGGCAGCAGACUAACAUGGAGUAGCAGAGAUUUUUGGGAAGAUGUUCCAGAGCCUUAAACCCCCUAGUUUUAGGUCUUCCACCUUCUCUUGUAAACGUGGACAGCCUGCCAGUGUUACAAAUAGAAAUGCUAUCUCUUCAGCACAGAAAAAAUAAUAUGUAAACUUUGAAAUCCUUCCAGGACUGGACUGCCGUUGAGUGGAAAUGUUUGCAACACUCUUUCUGUUUGUGAGAAGUGAUAAGAUUAUUCUGUUUGUGAGGAGAAGUGAUAACAUUUUUCUCUCCCUUUUCGGGUUUUUUCUGUACCAGUGAUUUGCACCAGCUCUCUCUCUCUCUCUUUCUCUCUCUCUCUCGCUCUCUCUUUCUCUCUCUCUCUCUGUCUCUCUCUCUAUCUGGGAUUAUCUUAGCCCCAUUUUAUAUUACGUGUCCUCGGGUACAAACAGAAACGUACUAUCAAGCACCAUUUGCUAGCAACAAUAUUUGUCCAUACAACAAAAUUAGUACUUUACAUGUUGAUACUAGAUGUACUUUGGCAGUGUUAAGUGUUAAGAUUAGCAAUAUAUUAUAAUAUGUACUUAACCUACAUGAGAAGUACAUAGUGUUAGUACACUGUAUUAUUACUUAGUACAAUGUAAUACAAAUAUACUCUAUUAAGGACACUUAAAACCAAAUGGGACCAAGAUUCCUUUUAUCUGACUGCUUUUCAGCUCUGCUGGACGAGAGACUCAGCUUCUCCUGUGACCAUCUUUUCAGCUGUUCGAGACUUUAAUGACUCCUUCGUUUCUCAGCAGGAAAUGAGACUGCCGUUUUCUCAGUUUGAAACAGGUGGAAAGCAAGCUGGAACCGAACCGAGGCUAUUUUUCUUUCAACGUUAUAUUUU
ensembl:lncRNA